rnacentral:rRNA from 1 species
UACGGAGGGUGCGAGCGUUGUCCGGAAUCACUGGGCGUAAAGAGCGUGUAGGCGGCCAGGUAGGUCUGCUGUGAAAACUCAAGGCUCAACCUCGAGACGUCGGCGGAAACCAUCUGGCUAGAGUCCGGAAGAGGAGAGUGGAAUUCCUGGUGUAGCGGUGAAAUGCGCAGAUAUCAGGAAGAACACCCGUGGCGAAGGCGGCUCUCUGGGACGGUACUGACGCUGAGACGCGAAAGCGUGGGGAGCGAACAGG